UACAUGGAGUCCAAGCGUUAUCCGGAUUUACUGGGCGUAAAGCGUCCGCAGGUGUCCAAGCAAGUUUCUGGUGAAAGCCCACGGCCCAACCGUGGAAUUGUCAGGAAAACUGCUCGGAUUGAGUAUGGCAGAGGUAGAGGGAAUUCCAGGUGUAGGGGUAAAAUCCGUUGAUAUCUGGAAGAACACCAGUGGCGAAGGCGCUCUACUGGGCCAUUACUGACACUCAGGGACGAAAGCGUGGGUAGCGAACGGG
rnacentral:rRNA from 1 species